UACGUCAUCCAUGUAAAAAUCGUUCAAGAUAAUUUUGCAUGCCUCUGGGUACACCUGCUGAAAUUCUUUGCCCAACUGGUGCAGGCACCGAGCCGCAAGGUAUGGAGCUGAACAAGUUCCAUACGUAACUGUGUUAAGUCGAUAUGUGUGGACUGCUUGCUCAGUAGAGAAACGCCAUAAUAUCAACUGCAAGUUUCUAUCAUCUUUGUGAACCAUUAUUUGACGAAACAUUUUCUGGAUAUCGCCAGUCAGUACAAAUUUAUGGCACCGAAACCUGAGUAGGAUAUUGAAAAUAUCUUGCUGUAUCGUGGGUCCAGUUAGAAGGACAUCGUUGAGAGAUAGUCCGCUAGAUGUUGCGGCUGAACCAUUGAACACUGUUCUCAAUUUGGUUGACGUGCUGUCAGGUCUCAAGACUGGGUGAUGAGGGAAAUAGAAAUGGGGUUGAUCGAUUAUCAGAUCCAUGUCUGAAACCUUUUCCAUGUGACCCAUUUCAAGUGGCAGUCUAACGAUAAACCUACCGGAAGGAUCUCUAGUUGUUGUUUCCUGAAACAACAGCUCCGAUUGAUUUUCUUCUUCCGUCCACGGUCGAACUAAACAGUUAUCCACCCACUAUCCAUCCGAGAUGGGUGUUUUGUAGGUGUGGUAAAUGGGGACUGAUUUCAAGAUAUCCAUCUUUUAAAAUUUCCAUUACUACAGUAAUUCCCAACAGCAUGUCAACUGGUCUAGAAAGAUAAAACUCAGGAUCUGCUAGUGUUAAGUCUGGCAUCGCCCAACUAUCAAUUUCAAUGUCGUUACUGGGCACAGGAUCCGUUAUAAAAUCUGUAACUAACAUCUUGACGGUUCUUUGAAAAACAGACAUUCUGGCUCUCAACUGUACCAUGACUUUCUCUUGAAUCGACUUAGUUGAAUUUCCAAAACCUCGGACGUUGAUAUUAGUAGGCUCAGUGGAUAGACCAGCGCGCUUAAUGA